CCAGAUUCGGUACAGUGGGAAUACCUGAGGGAAGAGUUUCAGAGUUAUUUGAGGAGCAGGGACGCCCACGGGUUCCAACCAAUGCCCUCCUUACUUGUUUUGUGUUUCGUUUUAGUUAUUAGCGAUGCGGUUGGAUGAGACUUUGUUGUUUCAUAUGAAAGAAUUUGCUUUGAGGGAGCCGGGAGCAGCACUACAAUCCGCAGGGUUGUUUAUUUUAAAUAGGGCUCUGCACGGUGUUAUUUAUGACACCGUGAUGUUGACACUUCGAGUUCUUUUAAAGUUAUAUUUUUAUUUGCAUUCCUGUGUGAGGGAAGGGAGGGGGAGAGGAUGGGAGGAGCUUCCUGUGUGCAAGCCUGCAGGUGCGCCAGUGCUCAGCAGAGGGCACUGAAUGCUGCGGCACUCGGGUUAACAGAUGGUAGUGAGCUGUCUGAACUACUUAAAAUUUUCAGGUAAAAGGGCAGCAAGCAUUCUUAAACUGCUGAGCGGCCCUCUAGGUGUUCUUUGCUGGGGCAGGGGAGUUAGCAGGGAGGAAGUGGAGAGAACUGGGAGAGUUGAGACCCUCCUUCUGAGCGUUAAGCUGCAUGUAGAUAAUAUCUGCAGGUGUGGCACAAUUGAAAAGGCAGUGGCUUUCAGGCUAGUCACUGCACGGACUAGUAAGGCAGCUCUCUUGCUCCCAGCACCGUGCAUCUGAUUCUCCGUUCUCAGGGACCACCUGACAUGGUUAAACAGCCCUGGCUUAACGUUCCAGACACUGCUGCCAAUACUUGCGGCUGUUAGUUCCUGAUUUCUGCUUAAGAGAUUCCCUCUUCCUAGAUGUCUCUAUCUCAUGUCAAGUUGACAAAGAACUAACCAGCACAUUCAUCAUGUAAAAUCUUUCUGAAUUGCUAAUCACUCUAGAGAGUGGCUACAGCCUUUCCCUUCAGAGUGCAAAUCCAGAAGUUUUAUGCAGGGAUGAGCACUGGCUGGUGGCUGUUCUGUCUGGUGAGUAGCUGUUUCACUAUCCCAUAUCAAUGAAUCUUCUAUGUUUCACUCCAGUGCUGCAGCAUGAAAAAAAGUCUGCAGGAAAGAUGCAAAGACAGUCCCUUAAGCCCACCUCUAUAAUCC
rnacentral:lncRNA from 1 species